CGAUGUCGGCUCGUCGCAUCCUGGGGCUGGAGUCGGUCCCAAGGGUUGGGCUGUUCGCCCAUUAAAGCGGCACGCGAGCUGGGUUUAGAACGUCGUGAGACAGUUCGGUCCCUAUCCGCCGCGCGCGCAGGAGUCUUGAGGAAGGCUGUCCCUAGUACGAGAGGACCGGGACGGACGAACCUCUGGUGUGCCAGUUGUUCCACCAGGAGCACGGCUGGUUGGCUACGUUCGGAAGGGAUAACCGCUGAAAGCAUCUAAGCGGGAAGCUCGUUCCAAGAUGAGGACUCCCACCCUUCGUGGGUUAAGGCCCCCGGCUAGACCACCGGGUUGAUAGGUCGGAAGUGGAAGCACGGUAACGUGUGCAGCUGACCGAUACUAAUAGGCCGAGGACUUACCACA
rnacentral:ncRNA from 1 species